UACAGAGACCUCAAGCGUUAUCCGGAAUCAUUGGGCGUAAAGCGUACCGAUAGGUGGUUUAGAAAGUUUUUGGGUAAAAGCCAGAAGCUCAACUUCUGAGUUUGCUCAAAAUACUUCUCAACUAGAGGGGCAAAGAGGUCCUUGGAACGAACGGUGUAGUAGUGAAAUGCGUUGAUAUCGUUCGGAACACCGAAAGCGAAGGCAGAGGACUGGGUGCCACCUGACACUACUAGGACGAAAGCGUGGGGAGCGAAUGGG
rnacentral:rRNA from 1 species